rnacentral:rRNA from 1 species
CCUACGGGUGGCAGCAGUAGGGAAUCUUCCACAAUGGGCGCAAGCCUGAUGGAGCAACGCCGCGUGGGUGAAGAAGGUCUUCGGAUCGUAAAACUCUGUUGUUAGAGAAGAACGUGCGUGAGAGUAACUGUUCACGUUUCGACGGUAUCUAACCAGAAAGUCACGGCUAACUACGUGCCAGCAGCCGCGGUAAUACGUAGGUGGCAAGCGUUAUCCGGAUUUAUUGGGCGUAAAGGGAGCGCAGGCGGUCGUUUAAGUCUGAUGUGAAAGCCUUCGGCUUAACCGAAGUAGUGCAUUGGAAACUGGGAGACGUGAGUGCAGAAGAGGAGAGUGGAACUCCAGGUGUAGCGGUGGAAUGCGUAGAUAUAUGGAAGAACACCAGUGGCGAAGGCGGCUCUCUGGUCUGUAACUGACGCUGAGGCUCGAAAGCGUGGGUAGCAAACAGGAUUAGAUACCCGAGUAGUC